GGGGCGGGAAACACUGACCACAGAAGACAAGUUGAGGAUCACUUCCUUUGGAUAACCAGCCCUGACCCCAUUCCAUAGUAAUCUCUGUCAAUCUUGGUGGCUCUGACCACACAUUUGUUCUGGCUUAAAUUGGGGAGGACUAUGGGGUGUGGAGGACGGUAAUGGAGCAGGAGUAGUCACAGAAAACAAACUUGACCAAAGCACUCCAUACUACUUGGCCACUGGUUGGUUGGGGAUGGGCACAUGACCCAAGCUGAGCCAGUAUCCUCAGAUGUUUUGUCAGAGAGAUUUUUUAAAAAGCCCCUCUUUCUCUGUGAUCACAAGCCAUAAUGAUGAUACAAGUGUGGGGCUGCAGGCUAUUUUGCCCACCCAGGAAUUAAGUCAAAAGGGCAAGCAGAGAGGAGAAAUGAGGAGAGGAACAGAGCCCAGCUGGCAUUGCAUCCCAGAAUCCAAUUUUGCCUGAAGCUACCUCUUAGAUUUGCCAGUUACAUGAGCCUUUUCUUGUUUAAGUUGGUUUGAAUUAGGUUUUUGCUACUGGCAGCCAAAGGAGUCCUGACUAAUCCACAAAGUUCAACUGACAGAUAAGCUACUCAGAAUGCGACGGUGAAAUGAAAGGGAUAAUACUCUCCCAUUCUCUUGUAAUUUGGAAAUUCUCCGGACCUAAAGCCAGAUCAGCCUCUGCUCUACCAGCACCAAAACUGUGCACGAGGCACACUGUAGUCAUCUAAGGAACUGGAGAUGUUAGCCUGAGAACGAGAAGACAAGAUGUGCUUGCUGGGCUCAAACGUGUGAAGGUCUACUUUGUGAGAAAGGGAUUGGAUUCACUCUUUGGAGUUAAAAGUCAGACCAACAAGUCCUUAUCACUGAGGGGAAUUUUCUGUACAACAUGAAGGAUAACUUUUCUAACAAUGAAAGCCAUCCUAGCUGACAUAAUGUGACCCUCAAACACUUCCUUUAUUGAGUGAGAGGCUGGACAAAAUGACAUCUAAGAUCCCACCCAACUCUGUGAUUACUUGAUUCAAUCAAAGUUUGGUCAUGGUGACCGUAUCUGUACAGUCAUGCAUUGAUUAAAAAUGGGGAUAUAUCCUGAGAAAUGUGUCCUUAUGUGAUUCCAUCAUUGUGCAAACAUCAUAGAGUGCACUUACAUAAAUCUAGAUGGCAAUGCCUUCUGCACACCUAGGUUUUGUGGUAUAGUCUAAUGCUUCUAGGCUGUAAACCUGUACAGCAGAUGACUGUCCUGAAUACUGUAGGCAACUGUAACACCAUAGUAGGUAUUUGUGUAUCUAAACAUAUCUAAAUAUAGAAAAGGUAUGGUAGAACUACAGUACUAAAUAAGCUUAUAGGACCACUCAGAUAUGUGGUCUGUUGCUGACAAAGUGUCAUUAUGCAGUGCAUGACUGUAAUUUAUUAUAGUCACCUCAACCAUUCAGCAAAUCAAAAAUCAAUAUAAAUCAAUCAUAUAUAAGGAGGCCCAGAGGAAAUUAAGUGUCGGAAGAGAUUUCCUAGAGGGGAUGAUAACUUGCACAGUUUUAAAUACAAAUAGGACUUAGUUUCUAUCACACAUACCAUGUUGAACAAUGCUCUAUUCAGCACUGAUUCUUCAAGAAGCUAUUUAUCUCUACCAUAGUUUCUUUAAAAAUAUGCAAAUACAUAUGUAAUAAUGAUCUAUUUCAGUGUAUUAUAAAUUAAAAUUUUCCAAAUUCUUGAGUGUUUUGUAGGCAUAUAGCUAAUAAACAUUAACAGUUUGGUGUAGUGUACCUGUAACCAGCCCUGUAUACCUGUAUACCAGCUGCUCUCAGCCAAUGAAUGGGAGUCCCCUAUUACUGCAUUCUACCAUUCACUACACUCUGAGUUGAGAGUGUUCUACAAUACAUGUUUUUGCUUAUCUUUCUGCCAUUAUUUUGUGUACUGGCAAUUUAUUUUGUGUCCUCAAAAGCAGUUUUGACAUGAAAUGCUUAACCACAGUUAUGAAAAUGAUACAUCCAUACUAGAUCUACCCAUAGCAAAGUGACAGCACUACAUUAGACAUCAAAAUGCAAGUCCUAUAGAGGUUCAGGGUGCCUUCAGGAAAUGUUUGAGAAGACAGAAUCAGGUAAAUAGGGACUGAAAGAUAAUUUUUGGCAUUAUGAAGAGCAGCAUAAAUACCACUGCAGGCAGGGAAAAUAAACAAAAAUUGUUAGAAAGCUGUUUGGAAGAAAUGACUAUAAGAAGACACAUCAUGAUGUAAGGAGUUUGGAAGAAGACAGUUGUGUGGUUGCCAUGUGAAGGACUGGAACACUUCUCCAUGGGGACAGUGAUAGGAAGACCCAGUAUAAUGCUGAUCACAGCAGCACCCCCAUUUCCAGGAAUGGAGCACUUCAUCCAUCUCCUGCCUUCUCUCUCAACAGACUUUGUGAGUGCUCAAACCAAGUGGGGAAAGACAGUCAAGAGAGAGGGAACAGCAUGUGAAAAGAAAAAUUGUAAAACAUGGCAGUUUAGAAACUGUAAGUGGUUUAACAUUACUGGAGGAGAGAAUACAGGAGAGAGGUUAACAACGAGACUGGAACUGUAGACAAAAGCCAUGUUAUGAAAGAGCUGAUGAAACCUUCUCUAGACCUAGGACUUAAUGUGACAAGCAGUGGGGAGCAAAUAAUUGGCUUUAACAGGGCAAGCAAUGUGAUCAAGUUCGAAUUUUAGAGAAAAAUCUGGAAGCACUAUGGAGGCUUGACUGGAGUGGGAUAUGACUCCAGAAAGAUCAGUGAGGAGGUCAUUGUUAGCAAUCAGACACAUUUUUUUUUGGCCUAUUAAAUUACCAUUUUUUUAAAAAAAGAAAAAGAAUAUCCUGGUGGUAAGCUAUAAAUUGGUAAAUUUGUAAAAAGCUACUUGCAAUAAUGUAAGUCAAGUAAGAAAUUUAGAAAUAAUACUGAAAAAGUUUACGCCCUUUGAUCCAGUAAUUCUAUGUGUAGGAAUCUACAGUAAAAGUACAGAGAUGCAGACAAAAGUGUAUGUUCAGUGAUGUUCCUUCUUUCAGUCUUAUUUCUGAAAAACUAGAAACCACUUUCAUGUCCAAUCAAAAAAGCAACAAAUAAAUGAAAUAUGUCACUGCUAUUUAAAAUUUUUUUUUAAAUAUUCACUGACAUGGAAAAUUGCCCAAGGAUUAAUGUUAAUUGAAAAAGCAGAAUACAAAAUUAAAUAUAUGGUAAAACUGCCUUCUUCAGAAAGGUGUAUGCAUUUAAAAACUGGAAAAUACAAAAAUAUAUAUAUAUAUAAUCAGAGCUUAUCUCUAGGUGGUGAAAUUGAGUGAUUUUGAUUUUCAUCUUUUUAAGCUUUUUUUAUUUUUUCAUUCACUGUCAUGAACAUGUACUACUUUUGCAGACAACUGUUAGGUUGAACCAUUUGAAAUUGCCUGCUGCAGACUGAAUUGUGUUCCCACCUUCUCCCCAAAAUGUGUAUGUUGAAACCGUAACUCCCAGUGUGAUGGUAUUUAAAGAUGAGACCUUGGGAAAUAAGUAGGUGUAGAUGAGGUCAUGAGGGUGGAGCAUUCAUGAUGGGAUUAGUGUUCUUAUAAAAAGAGGAAGAGGUCAUGUGAGCACACAGGGAGAUAGCAGCCAUCUACACACGGGGAAGAGAGCCCUCACCAGAACUUGACCAUGCUGAUGCCCUGAUCUUGGACUUCCAGUCUCCAGAGCCUUGAGAAAAUAAAUCUCUGUUGUUUAAGCCAGUCUAUGAUAUUUUGUUAUGGCAGCCCAAGCUGACUAAUACACUGCCAAAAUUGACUUCAAAAAUGACAAUUCCAUAUGAAUCAGCCUACAUAAAAGUGAAAUAAAAUAAAAAGCAACAGUCAUUGAAAAUGCCCUGACAAUAGAUGCUAAGAGCCAGAACCAAAGCAACAGUAAUAAGAUAAGAAUAACAAAGAUGCAAAUGACAUUAAGUUGGUAGAUUCUGUAACUUGGUGAUGGAUAGGAUUGAUAAAACAGUACUGGUGAAUAAGGAACAGCAUCUAAAACAUGAAUCCAAAGUUUUUACACUAAGAAAUCGAGGGAUGGUAGAGGUACUAGUCAAGACAAGGGAUAAUCAGAAAAAUCUGUUUGGUAGCUAGCCUCUGAGAUGGCCUCAAUAAUCCCCACCUCCUGGCAUUCGCAGCCUUGAAUACUCCCCUUCCUGGUCUACAGGUGGUCAGUAUUCUGCCUCAUUUAUAAUACUGCCGAAGUUAUGUCUCACUGCUACAGAGAUGAACAUUCACCCUGGGAAAAAAGCCAACUGCUGUGUUCGGACACUUAAAGCCUAUGGACAGGCCUAUGUGUUGAGGAACUGAGAUAUCCAGCCAACAGCCAGCAAGGAACUGAGGUCUGACAACAACCUCAUGAGAGAGAUUGGAAGCAGAUCCUGCAGCCCCAGUCAAGCCUUUCAGUUGCUGACACCUUGACAGCAACCUCAUGAGAGACGCUGAGCCACGUGAUGAGGCUAAGCUGCGCCCAGACUUCUGUCUCAUAACAGCUAUGAGAUAAUAAAUGUUUGUUUUAAGCCACUA